UCCAUGACUGCAUCCGGCCGCGGGCCGCCUUUGUUCCCUUGGUCCCCGGCAGCGGCCCGCCUCCCCCGCCGCGCGCCGGAGUUUUUCCAGGGCUCAACUGGAGCAUGGCGGUGCCGCCUCCCUCACUUCCCGACUCAGACCCCGGCCUCCUGUGCCCGGGCUCGGGCGGCGACCCCGGCAAGACCCCGAGAUCACCUGCGGGGAGCUGUGCCCUCUCCAGAUGCGCUGCUCGCUCCGUCCCUCCGGGUCCCUAAGCCCCACGUGUGCGCGCAAAGCUGACAGUCUCCUGGCCCGCACGCCUCCGCGCUUGGCGACCCGAGCCCCUCCCGGGCUGCAAGUUGGGGGACGGGGAUCAGGCGGGUGCGGAGCCGGGCCGCCAAUGCCUCCAGGUUGUGGAAGGGCCUCACGUUUUCCCCAAGGGGUUGGGGUGCAGUCCGGGCGGUAUGUUUGGUGGUCCCCAAACAUACCUGGAGGGGAACCCUGGAGCGCGCGCACACGGCCCGGCAAGCGGGGAGAUCACCCCCAGCCCUCCGCGCGCUCGCCGCGCCCGCCCCACGGGAAAAUGGGCACACUCGAGGGCAGUAAGCCCCGGAGCACCGAGAACCCCCUCCCAGCCAUCAGGAAGAAAAGGGAGAUAGGCAGGCAGAAAAGGGGCGUUGGGGAGAUGCAAGGGGCGCUGUAAUGUCCCAGGGAGUGAGGGCAGGAAUGGGGACUGUGUGACCGCGGCAAGCUGGGUCCUGUCGGCGCAGCGGUGCGUUCAGUUUGUGGGUGUCUCAGCCACCGGGGAAGCCUCCCAGCUAUUACCCAGCCAUGUUGGCGGGAAAAGUGUAAGAAACGCUAUGUUUGCUUCUGAGUGAGGUUUGCUAAGCCCUUCCAGAGAAGCCAGACAGGCAGGGUGGCCUUCAGCUGAGGUACAGGGGUGAAGGGACGAAUGUGCAGAGGAAGGGGUCCUGGGUUAAGAGGACGUCUGGUUCUGUGGGGUUUUGGAAUCUCUUGGGGCUCUCCUCAGACAGAGGAGAUAGAAGGUGCGUGUGGGAGGAAAAUGCAGAGUAAGGGACACCCAGAUCCAGGGAGGCUCAGCGCUGUCUCCCUGCCAGCAUCUAACCCCCUCCCUGGUGCAUUCUCUUGUUUCCUCAGCAGUAAUGGGGGAGCCUGACUUCUCUGAAAGGGCCCCUCCUCCAGUUGCAUCUUUGUCAGCUCUAUCUGCUUCCUCCCAGUGUUAAGGCCCCCUCCCUCCCAAGCCAUCGGAGCAUGAGGAAGCCUUGGUUCCACACAGCUGGGCUUCUUGCUCACAGGCUAAGGCAGAUGCCCUUUGCCCUUGUGAAGUUGGUGGGAAGUUGCAGAAGCUGAAACGGAGCCUGUGGCUGGGCACCAGCCCCUGGAAUAGAGGAACUUUCACUGAGAGCAAGCUGCGACGUUGGGGCUGCCUACAGAGGGAACAAGAAAUUGAGGCCUCUCCCUGAUGCCCCCAAGAAACUGAAUUCUGCCAACCACCUCAUGAGCUUGCAAGCAGAUUCCUCCCCAGUCAAGCCUCAGAUGAGACCUCAGCCCUAGCCAAUACCUUGAUGGCAGCCCUGCAGAAGUCCCAGUCCAGGAUGUCCAGACUUCUGUGAGAAACUGUGAUAUAAUAAAUGUGUACUGCUUUAAGCGGC